UGGUUGGAUCCCUGCUCGGGCAGCGACAUCCCCCGUGCAAGCCUCUUCAAUUUUCGGCCCAAGAGCAAGUUAGCCUUGGCCGUUUAUCGGUUUCCUGUGCUGUAUACCUACUAUAAUGGAAUUCGAACGUGCAAUAUUUUGUUAUUCGCCUUGUGCUGUCCCAUUGGUUGUCCCUUUGGGGUGCGGUGUCGGGUGAACCUCGAAGCGAUCUUCAUGUUCUUCGUCACCCACGAAAUGUGUUGUCGGCGCGGCCCAUGAAGAUUGCUUGAGCUCUCGGAUGCGGAAUAUGCAGAGGGUAGUAGGCCUACAGCCUCUCUUUGCCCGAAUUAAGCGUUUAUUCGCUCAUUACCGAACGACGGCCGGCGGUGCUUUGAUGUGUUGGAGCCCUCAGGUUUUGGCAUCAUCAUGCAUCGCUGGCGUCAGUGAGGAAUGCUACCUGGUUGAUCCUGCCAGUAGUCA
rnacentral:misc_RNA from 1 species